GGCGCAGCCUGAUCCAGCCAUGCCGCGUGUGUGAAGAAGGCCCUCGGGUUGUAAAGCACUUUUGUUGGGAAAGAAAUCUUGUCGGCCAAUACCCGGCAAGGAUGACGGUACCCAAAGAAUAAGCACCGGCUAACUUCGUGCCAGCAGCCGCGGUAAUACG
rnacentral:rRNA from 1 species